AUGGCCACCGGCGAUGCCCCCGGCGUCGACCACAGGCGCCGGCCAUGUUCCAGCCACAAGGUGAUCGCCUCCACGCCGUCCCUGGAGCAGCAAGUCUUCCUCCUGCAGCAGCACGCGGUGGUGGUGACCGUCGUCAGCAAGGUCCAUGCCGCCAGCCCACUCUCCAUCGGCCGAGCCAUCGAGAAGGAGUUCAAGAUCCCUGCGCACCUCCUCCGCAUCACCAGCCACGACCCAGAAGAUUUCUUCGUCCACUUCCACCUGCCCGCCCACAAGGAUCUGGUCGUGCGCCAGGGCUCGAUCUCGGUGGACGGCGUCCAGUUCCUCCUGGAGCCUUGGCGCGAGGACACGCACGCGGUGCACGCCACAUGGAUGAUGCACGUGCGCGUCGUCCUUGAGAAGCUGCCCUUGCAGCUCUGGACCCUGGAGGGGGCGGCCGACGCGCUCGGCGACCAGGUCAUCAUCGACCGGCUGGACAGCCGCACUUUCGAGCGGGCUGACACGAAGACGUUCGCCGUCUGGGUGUGGGUGUGGGAGCUGCACCACAUCCCCACCAGGUGGAUGCUCUGGAAGCAUGCGCGGGGCCCGGGCCGGGUGGAGGAGAUGCAUGGAUUCUCGCCGCCGAGCCGUGUCGUGGCACUGCCGCCGGCCCUGCUCAGAUGGGACAUCCUGGUGCACAUCGACCGCAUUGAGGAUUGGGCCCCUCUGUCCCCGCGGUCCUCCCACUCGGGGCAGAGCGGGCUGCCCUCCUCGGACGAUGACGAGGACGACCGCUCGUUCCCAUGUCGCCCUCCUGCCGGUGGAUGGACCCACAGGAUCGAAGAUGGGCGCUCUGUGCAGGACCUAGGCGCAGGCGCUCAGCGGGCGGUGCUGGCCCCGGGCGCUGGCGUGGGCCGGGCCCGCCCCCAGGCGCCGGUGGUGUCCACGGGCUGCCGUGGCAUGCCAGGCGAGGCCACGACGGUGACGACGACGACGGCCAGAGGCGGUCCUGGAAGGACACCCUGGUGGGGCGGGGCCGUGGCAAGGAGCAUGCUGUGGUAG
rnacentral:rRNA from 1 species